rnacentral:rRNA from 1 species
GGUUAAGCUACUAAGGGCGCGUGGUGGAUGCCUUGGCGUCAGGAGCCGAAGAAGGGCGUAGCUUGGCUGCGAUAAGCCCGGGGGAAUUGCCAAGCAAGUUGAUCCCGGGAUGCCCGAAUGGGGAAACCCGGCCCGCUUUAUCGCGGGUCACCGCCGGCCGAACACAUUAGGCCGGAUGGAGGCAAGUCAGGGAACUGAAACAUCUAAGUACCUGGAAGAAAAGAGAUUAUUCCCUCAGUAGUGGCGAGCGAACGGGGAACAGCCCAAACCGGAGAGGCCUAACGGACGCGGGUCCUAUGUCUGUCCGGGGUUGCGCGACGUGAUGGGAGAGAUCCCGCGAUCUCUCGCGGAGUUACCAACCGGACUCCAGCCGAAGGUCUGUGGAAACAGCCACCAGAGAAGGUGAUAGUCCUGUAGGCGAAGGGGAAUGGCUCCGUGCAUCGCGGACGAGAGUACCACGGGACACGGGAAAUCUUGUGGGAAGCCGGGGAGACCACUCUCCAAGGCUAAAUACUCCUGACGACCGAUAGCGUACUAGUACCGUGAGGGAAAGGUGAAAAGCACCCCGGGAGGGGAGUGAAAGAGAUCUGAAACCGCGUGCCUACAAGCGGUCAGAGUCCGCCUUUGGGCGGAUGAUGGCGUGCCUAUUGAAGAAUGAGCCGGCGAGUUAAUCCGUGUCGCAAGGUUAAGGAUGUGGCCAUCCGCAGCCGUAGCGAAAGCGAGUCUGAACAGGGCGCCAGAGUGGCACGGAUUAGACCCGAAACCUGGUGAGCUACCCAUGGCCAGGGUGAAGCGAGUCUAAAAGCUCGUGGAGGCCCGAACUGGUGAACGGUGCAAAGUUCUCGGAUGAGCUGUGGGUAGAGGUGAUAUGCCAAUCGAACCAGGAGAUAGCUGGUUCUCCCCGAAAUGCAUUGAGGUGCAGCCCCAUGGGUUCACCUCCGGAGGUAGGGCUCUGAAUGGGCUAGGGGGCGAGAGCUUACCAAACCCAAUCAAACCACAAAUGCCGGAGGUCCAGACCAUGGGAGUGAGUCGGCGGGGGAUAAGCUUCGUCGUCGAGAGGGAAACAACCCAGAUCACCAGCUAAGGUCCCUAAGUGCGGUCUAAGUGUUCAACGAGGUGGAGUUCCACAGACAGCCAGGAGGUUGGCUUAGAAGCAGCCAUCCUUGAAAGAGUGCGUAACAGCUCACUGGUCGAGGGACUCUGCGCGGACAAUGUACCGGGGCUUAAGUCCGCCACCGAAGCUGUGGACUUCCUCCUUUCGGAGGGAGUGGUAGGGGAGCGUUGCCUGUGCAGUGAAGCCCAACCGUGAGGUUGAGUGGAGCGCAGGGAAGUGAGAAUGCCGGCAUGAGUAGCAAUGAACCCGGGUGAGAAUCCCGGGCGCCGAAAACCCAAGGGUUCCUACGCCACGGUUGUCGACGUAGGGUUAGCCGGGCCUAAGCUGAGGGCGAAAGCCGUAAGCGAUGGACAGCUGGUUAGUAUUCCAGCGCCGCCGGUGUGUCGUUUAAAGCUGCGGAGUAACGCAGGAGGAUAGGCGGGGCAUGCCUAUUGGACAUGGUGUGUCCCUGAUCCCAGCCGAUGCCGGGAUAGGCAAAUCCGUCCCGGAUAUAGGUAGGUGAGGAGAGGGGAGAGCUUUCUCGCUACGGCGAUAGGGCAAUCCCGCUGAGUUCACGCUGUCCAGAAAACCUUCGUAUGCUAUGGCACACAGGCGCCCGUACCGCAAACCAACACAGGUGGGUGCUCCGAAAACGGAGAAGGCGUUCGAGAUAACCCCCCUUAAGGAACUAGGCAAUCUAACCCCGUAACUUUGGAAGAAGGGGUGCCUCUGGGCGUGGUAGCUUCACGCCGCUGCGCUCUGGAGGUCUCAGAAAACCGGCCCGAGCGACUGUUUAACUAAAACACAGGUCUCUGCGAAGGAGUAAUCCGACGUGUAGGGGCUGACGCCUGCCCAGUGCCGGAAGGUUAAGAGGAGAGGUGCAAGCUUCGAAUUGAAGCCCCGGUGAACGGCGGCCGUAACUAUAACGGUCCUAAGGUAGCGAA